rnacentral:tRNA from 1 species
GCUCCCAUAGUCUAAAUGGAUAGGCACUCGGCUUCGGACCGAGAAUGAUGCGGGUUCGAGUCCUGCUGGGAGUA